rnacentral:rRNA from 1 species
ACUCCUACGGGAGGCAGCAGUGGGGAAUAUUGGACAAUGGGGCAACCCGUAGCAUCCAGCCAUGCCGCGUGUGUGAAGAAGGCCUUCGGGUUGUAAAGCACUUUCAGUAGGGAGGAAAGGUUGUACGUUAAUACCGUGCAGCUGUGACGUUACCUACAGAAGAAGCACCGGCUAACUCCGUGCCAGCAGCCGCGGUAAUACGGAGGGUGCAAGCGUUAAUCGGAUUUACUGGGCGUAAAGCGCAUGCAGGCGGCCUGUUAAGUCAGAUGUGAAAGCCCGGGGCUUAACCUCGGAAUUGCAUUUGAAACUGGCAGGCUAGAGUCUUGUAGAGGGGGUG